UUGAUUUAUUUGUUUGUUUCAUUCAGAAGUAACAGUUGAAUAUAAUGGUUUAGGCCCUCGACGGCGCCCGGUCGUGAGACCGAGGUCCGCCGAAGCAACGUAGGUAUGUUCACAGGGGUUUGGGAGUUGUAAACUCGAUAAUGAUCCCUCCGCUGGUUCACCAACGGAGA
rnacentral:misc_RNA from 1 species